rnacentral:tRNA from 1 species
AANCCCAAGUGAACGACACCAAAAUGCAAAUUUGGAGACGCACCCUANCAGGUGCCGGGGCUUC